UGCAGUCGAACGGUGAUAGCAAUAUCAUAGUGGCGCACGGGUGCGUAACACGUAUGCAACCUACCUAUUAUUGGGGGAUAGCCUUUGGAAACGGAGAUUAAUACCGCAUAAUACGAUUGACUGGCAUCGGUUGAUUGUUAAAGCUUAGGCGAUAAUAGAUGGGCAUGCGUCCAAUUAGUUAGUUGGUUAGGUAAUGGCUGACCAAGACGAUGAUUGGUAGGGGAUCUGAGAGGAUAAUCCCCCACACUGGCACUGAGAUACGGGCCAGACUCCUACGGGAGGCAGCAGUAGGGAAUAUUGGGCAAUGGGCGGAAGCCUGACCCAGCCAUGCCGCGUGCAGGAAGAAGGCGUAUGCGUUGUAAACUGCUUUUUUAUAGGUAGAAGGAUCCCUUGCGAGGGAAGGUGACGGUACUAUAAGAAUAAGCACCGGCUAACUCCGUGCCAGCAGCCGCGGUAAUACGGAGGGUGCAAGCGUUGUCCGGAUUUAUUGGGUUUAAAGGGUGCGUAGGCGGUUUAUUAAGUCAGUGGUGAAAGACGGUCGCUCAACGAUUGCAGUGCCAUUGAUACUGGUAGACUUGAGUGAGAUUGAGGUAGCUGGAAUGGAUAGUGUAGCGGUGAAAUGCAUAGAUAUUAUCCAGAACACCGAUUGCGAAGGCAGGUUACUAAGUCUUAACUGACGCUGAG
rnacentral:rRNA from 1 species